AGCUUGUAAGAGUGAAUCGCUUUCCUCUUCACAUUUAAAUUGUGAGGUAGAAACCCCUUCUGAACCAACCCCGAGAAGACACUGAUAGAGCAGGCUCAGAUUGGAUAACUGAUUUCUGAUUCUUCCAUGCUCUCCUCAUCCCCGUCUUCCUUUUAUCCAGAGUUAAAUGCUUAUUAAUAUGAAAACCACACAAAGAAAUAAAGUAUUAUAUAU